rnacentral:rRNA from 1 species
GACGAACGCUGGCGGCGUGCUUAACACAUGCAAGUCGAACGGUAAAGCUUGGUGCUUGCCCUGUGUGCUUGUGUGGCGCACGGGUGUGACACAUGUGUGUAACCCGCCCUUGUCUCGGGGAACAACCUGGGAAACUGGGUCUUAUACUGUAUACGCGCUGUCACCCCAUGGUGGUGUGUGGAAUGGGUUCUGCUGGUUUUGGAUGCGCUCACGGCCUAUGAGCUUGUUGGUGGGGUAAUGGCCCACCAAGGCGAAGACGGGUAGCCGGCCUGAGAGGGUGACCGGCAACAUGGGUACUGAGAAACGGACCAGACUACUAAGGGAGGCAGCAGUGGGGAAUAUUGCACAAUGGGCGGAAGCCUGAUGCAGCGACGCCGCGUGAGGGAGGACGGUCUUAGGGUUGUAAACCGCUUUCAGCUCGGAAGAAGCGUAAGUGACGGUACGGGCAGGAGAAGCGCCGGGUAACUACGUG